rfam:Schistosoma curassoni strain Dakar, Senegal genome assembly, scaffold: SCTD_scaffold0006171
AUCCAGCUAACGAGUUCCAAAUGGGACGAAACACGCGCCCUGGAU